rnacentral:rRNA from 1 species
AUUGAACGCUGGCGGCAGGCCUAACACAUGCAAGUCGAGCGGAAACGAGUUAUCUGAACCUUCGGGGAACGAUAACGGCGUCGAGCGGCGGACGGGUGAGUAAUGCCUAGGAAAUUGCCCUGAUGUGGGGGAUAACCAUUGGAAACGAUGGCUAAUACCGCAUGAUGCCUACGGGCCAAAGAGGGGGACCUUCGGGCCUCUCGCGUCAGGAUAUGCCUAGGUGGGAUUAGCUAGUUGGUGAGGUAAGGGCUCACCAAGGCGACGAUCCCUAGCUGGUCUGAGAGGAUGAUCAGCCACACUGGAACUGAGACACGGUCCAGACUCCUACGGGAGGCAGCAGUGGGGAAUAUUGCACAAUGGGCGCAAGCCUGAUGCAGCCAUGCCGCGUGUAUGAAGAAGGCCUUCGGGUUGUAAAGUACUUUCAGUCGUGAGGAAGGUAGUGUAGUUAAUAGCUGCAUUAUUUGACGUUAGCGACAGAAGAAGCACCGGCUAACUCCGUGCCAGCAGCCGCGGUAAUACGGAGGGUGCGAGCGUUAAUCGGAAUUACUGGGCGUAAAGCGCAUGCAGGUGGUUUGUUAAGUCAGAUGUGAAAGCCCGGGGCUCAACCUCGGAAUAGCAUUUGAAACUGGCAGACUAGAGUACUGUAGAGGGGGGUAGAAUUUCAGGUGUAGCGGUGAAAUGCGUAGAGGUCUGAAGGAAUACCGGUGGCGGAGGCGGCCCCCUGGACAGAUACUGACACUCAGAUGCGAAAGCGUGGGGAGCAAACAGG